UUUUAUACAUAUAUAUAUAUAUUUUGGUUUGGGUUCCAUUUUAGAAGGGACUAGUUAUUUAACGCCCUCUGAAGUCGAAUUUUUCAUCGGUCUAUUUUCGUGUGACGGCAUUUCACUACCAACGCAGUAAAUAGCUUUAUGUAACAACAUUGUCGCUGUUGUGUUUCGCGCGGUUUUGUCGUGUACAAUGGGUAAACGUAGCUGCCCGUUUUUUGAACCCCCCAUCCAAAAGAAAAUACAUGUUGGUGUGAAAGAAGUCGAUAAUGGUGUUUCUGGGAACAUGGAAGGAGUUUAUGAAAGAACAAAAAUGCUUCUCUUUGCUGGAGCCUUAUUGAGCAAUCAAGACAAGAACAGCAACUUGGUAAAAUCUGCUCCCAGUGCAAGUGAAAAUGACACACCGGAUUCUGAAGAAGAUACAUGUCAACCGAAAAUUCUACGAGGGCAAUGUCAAAUCGAUUUCUCAGGGAAACUGAUUCCUUACAGAAAAGCAAAUUGGAGUCAGAGUGUUUCUCAGUAGCAUAAAACAUGCAUAAUUUAACUGUAAUCUGUGUAAAAAAAAAAAAUUUUUUUUUAAAUUUUAAAUAC